AUUUGGCGGACGGGUGAGUAACAUUUAGGAAUCUGCCUAGUAGGGGGGGAUAGCUCGGGGAAACUCGAAUUAAUACCGCAUACGACCUACGGGUGAAAGGGGGCGCAAGCUCUUGCUAUUAGAUGAGCCUAAAUCAGAUUAGCUAGUUGGUGGGGUAAAGGCCCGCCAAGGCGACGAUCUGUAACUGGUCUGAGAGGAUGAUCAGUCACACCGGAACUGAGACACGGUCCGGACUCCUACGGGAGGCAGCAGUGGGGAAUAUUGGACAAUGGGGGCAACCCUGAUCCAGCCAUGCCGCGUGUGUGAAGAAGGCCUUUUGGUUGUAAAGCACUUUAAGCAGGGAGGAGAGGCUAAUGGUUAAUACCCAUUAGAUUAGACGUUACCCGCAGAAUAAGCACCGGCUAACUCUGUGCCAGCAGCCGCGGUAAUAAUC
rnacentral:rRNA from 1 species